GUGGGUUGAACGGGACCUCUGAUAACAGCAUGUGCAAACCCCGUAAAUAAACUGUUAAGCCCCAGUGUUAGAAGUAAGACUAUAAGUUCUCCUUGGUGAUGAGGAAAUAAUGUUUCUUGACAUGGGUGCUGGUUGUUGUAUAAGUGGGUUCAUUUUGUAAAAACUCAUUAAGUCAUGCCAUUAUAAACAAUGUGCUUUUCAAUGUUUGUGUUGUAUAGCGUCAGGGGUCAGGUUGCCAGGGAGCAGACAGAUGGCCAGCUGCACACAUGUUUGUUGGAACAGGUGCUCCUGAGAGUACUCUGCAGAGAGGAGGAAGCCUUGGAUGGACCGAGAGGGCAAGUGAGCUAUAUGAUAAAGACCUCAGACCAUCGCCGCAGGAGCAAUUCAGUGCCGGUGAUGAAAUCCAGGGCUCCAGGGUUAUGCUUUUUACUGAACCUCAGUCCCUCUGGCAGCUUCUAUACUGUGACCACCCUUGUUUCCUCGGUUCCUAACACGUGAUGAACAGACCGCCCAGCUUGCCCAGCCAACCCCAGCUUAAUCAGUAACAUUUCCCUCCUCCAUUCUCAGAAAUGUCCCAGGUGGAUGACAAAUCAUUGGUUGGUUAUGUAUAUUGCAACGUAACUAAUAAAAACAAUAAAAUCUUUCUCCUUUUU